UCCUACGGGAGGCAGCAGUGAGGAAUAUUGGUCAAUGGGCGGGAGCCUGAACCAGCCAAGUCGCGUGAGGGAAGACGGUCCUAUGGAUUGUAAACCUCUUUAGGCGGGGAGCAACGCCGGGCACGCGUGUCCGGAGGGAGAGUACCCGCAGAAUAAGCAUCGGCUAACUCCGUGCCAGCAACCGCGGUAAUACGGAGGAUGCGAGCGUUAUCCGGAUUUAUUGGGUUUAAAGGGUGCGUAGGCGGAUUUUUAAGUCAGCGGUAACAUGUCCGGGCUCAACCCGGGCCGGCCGUUGAAACUGGGGG
rnacentral:rRNA from 1 species